UGUUGACCUCGGAUCAGGUAGGAUACCCGCUGACUUAAGCAUAUAAUAGCCGGAGGAAAAA
rnacentral:rRNA from 1 species